AAUCAACGCUGGCGGCGUGCCUCAGACAUGCAAGUCGAACGAUUAAAGCUCUCUUCGGAGAGUGUAUAGAGUGGCGCACGGGUGAGUAACACGUAAGUAAUCUACCCUCGAGUGGGGAGUAACGUACCGGAACGGACGCUAAUACCGCAUAAUGCAGCGGCACCGCAAGGUGACAGUUGUUAAAGGAGAAAUUCGCUUGAGGAGGAGCUUGCGGCAGAUUAGCUUGUUGGUAAGGUAACGGCUUACCAAGGCUACGAUCUGUAACCGGUCUUAGAGGACGGUCGGUCACACUGACACUGAAUAACGGGUC
rnacentral:rRNA from 1 species